rnacentral:rRNA from 1 species
AGAGUUUGAUCCUGGCUCAGGAUGAACGCUGGCGGCGUGCUUAACACAUGCAAGUCGAACGAUGAAAGCGGGAGCUUGCUCCUGCUGGAUUAGUGGCGAACGGGUGAGUAACACGUGAGUAACCUGCCCUUGACUCUGGGAUAAGCGUUGGAAACGACGUCUAAUACCGGAUACGACCUUCGGAGGCAUCUCCUGGGGGUGGAAAGAAUUUCGGUCAAGGAUGGACUCGCGGCCUAUCAGCUAGUUGGUGAGGUAAUGGCUCACCAAGGCGACGACGGGUAGCCGGCCUGAGAGGGUGACCGGCCACACUGGGACUGAGACACGGCCCAGACUCCUACGGGAGGCAGCAGUGGGGAAUAUUGCACAAUGGGCGCAAGCCUGAUGCAGCAACGCCGCGUGAGGGACGACGGCCUUCGGGUUGUAAACCUCUUUUAGUAGGGAAGAAGCGAAAGUGACGGUACCUGCAGAAAAGCACCGGCUAACUACGUG